rnacentral:rRNA from 1 species
AUUGAACGCUGGCGGCAGGCUUAACACAUGCAAGUCGAGCGAGCGGCGGACGGGUGAGUAAUGUCUGGGAAACUGCCUGAUGGAAGGGGAUAACUACUGGAAACGGUAGCUACUACCGCAUACCAUCAGAUGUGCCCCGAUGGGAUUAGCUAGUAGGGGGGGUAACGGCUAACCUAGGCGACGAUCCCUAGCUGGUCUGAGAGGAUGACCAGCCACACUGGAACUGCGACACGGUCCAGACGCCUAAGGGAGGCAGCAGUGGGGAAUAUUGCACAAUGGGCGCAAGCCUGAUGCAGCCAUGCCGCGUGUGUGAAGAAGGCCUUCGGGUUGUAAAGCACUUUCAGCGAGGAGGCGUGACUCGCAGAAGAAGCACCGGCUAACUCCGUGCCAGCAGCCGCGGUAAUAC